rnacentral:rRNA from 1 species
UACGGAGGAUGCAAGCGUUAUCCGGAUUUAUUGGGUUUAAAGGGUGCGCAGGCGGUAUAAUAAGUCAGUGGUGAAAGUCUGCCGCUUAACGGUAGGAUUGCCAUUGAUACUGUUAGACUUGAGUAUGGGUGAGGUAGGUGGAAUGUGUAGUGUAGCGGUGAAAUGCAUAGAUAUUACACAGAACGUCGAUUGCGAAGGCAGCUUACUAAUCCAUUACUGACGCUGAGGCACGAAAGCGUGGGGAUCAAACAGG